GCCGCGAUAGCUCAGUGGUAGAGCACUUCCUUCCAUGGUAAGGAAGGGGUCUCGGGUUCAAGUCCCGAUCGUGGCUCCA
rnacentral:tRNA from 1 species